rnacentral:misc_RNA from 1 species
GAACUGCGAUAAGUAAUGUGAAUUGCAGAAUUCAGUGAAUCAUCGAGUCUUUGAACGCACAUUGCGCCCCCUGGCAUUCCGGGGGGCAUGCCUGUCCGAGCGUCAUUGCUGCCCUCAAGCCCGGCUUGUGUGUUGGGUCGUCGUCCCCCCCGGGGGACGGGCCCGAAAGGCAGCGGCGGCACCGUGUCCGGUCCUCGAGCGUAUGGGGCUUUGUCACCCGCUCGAUUAGGGCCGGCCGGGCGCCAGCCGGUGUCUCCAACCUUAUUUUUCUCAGGUUGACCUCGGAUCAGGUAGGGAUACCCGCUGAACUUAAGC